GGUUCCAUAGCUCAGUUGGUUAGAGCGCGAGCUUAACACGCUCGAGGUCGCCGGUUCGAUCCCGGCUGGAAUCA
rfam:Gonapodya prolifera JEL478 unplaced genomic scaffold M427scaffold_101, whole genome shotgun sequence.